UACAUGUGGUCCAAACGUUGCUCGGAAUCAUUGGGCGUAAAGCGCGCGUAGGCGGUUGCUUACGUCGGAUGUGAAAGCCCUCGGCUUAACUGAGGAAGUGCAUCCGAAACUGAGCAGCUAGAGUACGAAAGAGGGUCGCGGAAUUCCCGGUGUAGAGGUGAAAUUCGUAGAUAUCGGGAGGAACACCGGUGGCGAAGGCGGCGACCUGGGUCGAGACUGACGCUGAGGCGCGAAGGCGUGGGGAGCAAACAGG
rnacentral:rRNA from 1 species